ensembl:lncRNA
AAGGGCUGGCAGCCAAAAGUGAAGAACCUCUUCUAGGAUAUUGCCCUUUUUGGAAGUUUCUAGUAAGCCUUAAUCCUUGGGAAGGGGUGAAAUGGAUAUAGCUAGAAAUUGUCUGGGAGGCCUUCAGUCUUUCCGUGCCUGUCUGCUCACCAAGAGCUCACUGCAGUGCUUGCUGUGGUUUGAUGCCCUACUUUAUCUCCUUGAGGGGUGGCACUUUUCUUAUAGAUGAAGGCUGAAGCAGUCUAGAUCUAUUUGAGGCAGAUAAAGAUCCACAUAAAUAAACCUAGCUACACAAUAGGCCAAUGCAUUAUAGACACGCUCUCUUUAGAGAGUCUUAUUCCAAACCUUUUAAUGAUCUGUGAUAUUCCCUCUGAUUUUUUUUUUUCAGAAGUGGUAGUCUGAAUGAGUAGCAUUUUGUUGGAAAUAAAGCACUGUGAUAAAUACUAUCACUCAUAAAUAUUAAUAUUGCAAAAAAAUUAUCAGAUAUACUGACAAGAACCUCACAAAUGCAUAUCAUAUAGUAUUAUUGCACACAAAGGAUCAGAACUGUCCAUCACGUAUACCCCAAAUGUUGCAGUACUCCAAAAAAAGAAUUUCACUCAUCAAAUAAGAUGCUGUUCUUUUGCUACCAUUACUAAUGUUACAACUUCAGUGGAGGUUUUUCAGGGCUUUGCUGGAACCGGCAGUCUACAAGUCUCUAAUGGAAGGAAAUGAUAGACUUCCUAAAGCAAGAGUAUCAUUUCACUAAUGUGCAACUAAAAGUAUUCAAGUGAAAUCUAGUACUUUCUACUUUCCCAAAACAUUAUUAAAAAUAAUUGCUCCCUCUUCUUGCAAAGUAAUAUUUUAUGUAGCAUUUGUCAAAAAGGAAGGUAACCUGAACUAUAAUAGAGAAAUGUAAAUUGCUAAGACAAUACAUUAGUAAUUCCUGAGUGGUGUAACAAGAAGGAUUCAAGAGCCCAAAAAACUGAACUAAGUAGGGCCUGUCUGGGUAUAAUGGAUUCCUUUCUCAUUGUCCAGAAGGUAGUGGGACUCAGCUCAUCCUACUUACUUUAUUGAUUAUUCAUUCUGUGCAUUUCUUUAUCUGUCAUGGAAGUAGCAGUGUGAGAACUUUGUUGUACUGUCUUGUUUAUUUCCACUUUCACACCCUUGCAUUUGGUUGUAUGUAUUUAUAUACAUGAAUACUUGGGUAGUGUGGAUAUGAAUAUGUAUGUACAUGCACAUAUAUAAGAAUCAAAGAGAAUACAUGAAUAAAAUAUUAAUAAUGUACAAUGUGAUUAAAUAUAAAAACAAUACUUCAAAAACACUGUAAAUCUGAGCAUGUUGCCUUUCUUGGCAUAAGCUAUUUUUAACACUGAUGUUUAUUGUGUGCAUAUAUUAACUACCAAAAAGUAAUAAAAAAUGUAUAGGAAAUG